UCAGUACAUCAAUUUGAGAGCUCU
rnacentral:piRNA from 2 species